UACGAAGGGGGCUAGCGUUGUUCGGAAUUACUGGGCGUAAAGCGAACGUAGGCGGUGUUCCAUGUCAGAGGUGAAAGCCUGGGGCUCAACUCCAGAAUUGCCUUUGAAACGGGGACGCUUGAGUCCGAGAGAGGAUGGCGGAAUUCCUAGUGUAGAGGUGAAAUUCGUAGAUAUUAGGAAGAACACCAGUGGCGAAGGCGGCCAUCUGGCUCGGUACUGACGCUCAGGUUCGAAAGCGUGGGGAGCAAACAGGAUUAGAAACCCCCGUAGUCC
rnacentral:rRNA from 1 species